AGGGUUCGAUCCUGGCUCAGGACGAACGCUGGCGGCGCGCCUAACACAUGCAAGUCGAACGAGAGAGAGGAAGCUUGCUUCCUCAAUCGAGUGGCGAACGGGUGAGUAACGCGUGAGGAACCUGCCUCAAAGAGGGGGACAACAGUUGGAAACGACUGCUAAUACCGCAUAAGCCCACAGGUCGGCAUCGACCAGAGGGAAAAGGAGUAAUCCGCUUUGAGAUGGCCUCGCGUCCGAUUAGCUAGUUGGUGAGGUAAUGGCCCACCAAGGCGACGAUCGGUAGCCGGACUGAGAGGUUGAACGGCCACAUUGGGACUGAGACACGGCCCAG
rnacentral:rRNA from 1 species